UCAACUGCGACCCCAGGUCAGGCGGGGAUUACCACGCUGAGUUUAAGCAUAUCAAUA
rnacentral:rRNA from 1 species